rnacentral:rRNA from 1 species
GACGAACGCUGGCGGCGUGGAUUAGGCAUGCAAGUCGAACGGUAUCAUCCUUUCGGGGGUGAGAGAGUGGCGAACUGGUGAGUAACACGUAGGUUAUCUACCCUCAAGACGGGGACAACCCAGGGAAACUUGGGCUAAUACCGGAUGUGAGCAACUUUUAGUUGUUUGAAAGGUGGCGUAAGCUGUCGCUUGGGGAUGAGCCUGCGUCCUAUUAGUUAGUUGGUGAGGUAACGGCUCACCUAGGCAAUGAUAGGUAGGCGGCCUUAACGGGUGGUCGCCCACACUGGGAUUGAGAUACGGCCCAGACUCCUACGGGAGGCAGCAGUCGAGAAUAGUCUACAAUGGUCGGAAGACUGAUAGUGCGACGCCGCGUGAACGAUGAAUCCCUUCGGGGUGUAAAGUUCUUUUAUAUGUGAGCAGUGCUUCUUAUAUUAACAGUAUGGGGAAGAGAUAUUAGCAUAUGAAUAAGCAACGGCUAACUCCGUGCCAGCAGCCGCGGUAAACACG